rnacentral:rRNA from 4 species
UUUAAAGAGAGUUUGAUCCUGGCUCAGGACGAACGCUGGCGGCGUGCCUAAUACAUGCAAGUCGAACGAACGGAGGAAGAGCUUGCUCUUCCAAAGUUAGUGGCGGACGGGUGAGUAACACGUGGGCAACCUGCCUGUAAGUUGGGGAUAACUCCGGGAAACCGGG